UUCCGUUCCAUCACACGAGAUCCACACCGAUGAGAAUUCUCAGAAGUGAUCUGAUACCCUGAGCUUAAGCUCCAGUAUUUAUACUGUAAUUACACAGUAAAUAACCCAUAUGUUUCAAGAAGACUAUGAUCUCAAUACCAAUAGGGUUAAAAAAGAGCUAUUCAACUUACCAUUAGCUCAAAAAACAGGGCUUUUCAACUUACAAAUAUAAUCAAAACCAGUAGCUUGACUCAGCUACCCUUAUAAAUGGCUCCUCAUGGUUUUCUCUUAAAAUUAAGGCCUUCCUUGCGAGACAAGAAUCUUCACCAUCUGAAUUAUGAGUGCCCAUCGUCAUUCCUUCUUCUCCCCUUUUCUGGAUCUGGACACUCAUUAUCAGCUUGCGCAUCUAACUGCUGUUAUCAUGGUGCUACUUAACUAUCUUCGCAGCACCCCCUCUGGAAAUGGAAAUGCGCAGCCAAAACCCCCCUCCAGCUUUCAGUCUGAGGAAGAUGUCACCUUCUCUGACCUGGUCCCCGACCAUUCUUCCCACUUCUCACCUGCAAGUCCGCCCCACUCUCAGUGGUCCUCUCACUUCACCUUUGCUGACUUUCCCAUGUCCCCAGGAUGCACACCAUUUUCUUCCCCCCACCACUCUCCUCAAGAUUACGCACCCACCAGUCCUGUGAAUUAUCAAUAAAACUACAUAUUACUCAUACUAAGUGUCCCUCAUGUUUAUUUCAUGUCAUUUUUAUCCACAACAUAGCCCACUUGAAGUACAUCGACAAUGUCUUGAGAGUCCUUGAAUGGAUGAAAUCACUGUGCCAGCGGUACAAGGUCACUCCGGUCAAGUUAUUUCUGACGCGUGUUACCAAGUUCCUCCAUUAACUCGAUGAGUAACUGUCCAAGGGCCGAGUUGGCUCCACGAGGCUGUGGAGUCUCCAGAGACUGCUGCAGUGGGAGUGCAGACAUCUGUCCGGUCGAGUCGUGCUCCACAGGCAAGGCGUGCGAGCGGAGAAGAGUGAGGGAGUACUUACAGCUCCUGCACGGCAAACUGUUGGACGCUGUCCCUGUUUCACUGGCUGAUCUGAACUCGUCCAGCAGACCCGGACAUGCUCAACCAUUGCAUCGGGCUGCUGUGUGCUCACUUCUUUUCGGUCAGCGGACACAGGACCGGAGUCCUGCAGAACCUCACGACUGAGGAGUUUGAGAACCUCGAGAAGGCUGACUCUUUCUGAUCAAUGUGAAGCAGCACAAACCUGCCUCCGCUUUCGGAUUCGCUAAGCUAGCCGUCACCAAGCUGGAGCUGAAGUGGCUGAAAGCUUUCUGCCGCCUGAGGAAGCAUAUGCCGGGAUAUGAGACUUCUGUGGGGUGGCUUUUCUUUUCUGGCACACAGGCCAGGAUUUCUGCGCAUGUCAAGCUUGCCCUGCGGGCACUCGUGGGAAGAGACAUCACUGUGUCGGACAUCCGCACAGCUCUAGCAACCUACUGCGAACGCAAAAGACGAACAACGCAUGCUCGUGACCAAGACGAUGUGCUACAGCAAUUAGCUGAGUCGUGGAGCUGUCGGUCAGCGAGGCGCACUCCGCCCAGUCUGCGCUAGAGUCCGCUGCGGGCAUAGGUGCUACAUUGGCCGGUUGUUUUUGGCUAAUGGCCCUGUGUGUGUGUGUGUGUGUGUGUGUGUGUGUAAAUAUUUCAUUAAAAUGUUUGAACUGAAUUCCCCUUGUCAAAAGUACAGUAGCAUCACUCAUGGCGAGACCACACAACCGAAAUUUCCGAAAGUACAUGGACUGAGCUCCGGGCGAAGUUCGCAGGCUUUGCCCAGGGAGAGAGCGUCAAUUAGCUGAAUUUUUUCCUCGUUGAUUUCAAUGG